GUGCGAUCAUCCUGGUGACGAUGUCACAGACAGCUCGCCCGGCACACGGGUGGGAGAAGGGCACACUACACAGGUCAAGACACACUCACCACAAAGUGACAGAGUGACAGGACCAAGGAUGGCUCUGAUAAUGAUAAGACCACACGAAGUGUUGGCAAGGAUAC